AUUGCAAUAUGAGCAUGGAGGCAUAAAAACUCAUAGAUUUGGUGUUGUCAUCACCUUCAUCUCUGCUUGCUUACAAGAGUUUGGAGUUGAAUUGCAACACAACAUAA